GAUGAACGCUGGCGGCGUGCCUAAUACAUGCAAGUCGAGCGAACGGACGAGAAGCUUGCUUCUCUGAUGUUAGCGGCGGACGGGUGAGUAACACGUGGAUAACCUACCUAUAAGACUGGGAUAACUUCGGGAAACCGGAGCUAAUACCGGAUAAUAUUUUGAACCGCAUGGUUCGAAAGUGAAAGACGGUCUUGCUGUCACUUAUAGAUUGAUCCGCGCUGCAUUAGCUAGUUGGUAAGGUAACGGCUUACCAAGGCAACGAUGCAUAGCCGACCUGAGAGGGUGAUCGGCCACACUGGAACUGAGACACGGUCCAGACUCCUACGGGAGGCAGCAGUAGGGAAUCUGCCGCAAUGGGCGAAAGCCUGACGGAGCAACGCCGCGUGAGUGAUGAAGGUCUUCGGAUCGUAAAACUCUGUUAUUAGGGAAGAACAUAUGUGUAAGUAACUGUGCACAUCUUGACGGUACCUAAGCAGAAAGCCACGGCUAACUACGU
rnacentral:rRNA from 1 species